rnacentral:lncRNA from 1 species
CGAUCUUUAUCAUCUUAGAGAUGCAUGCACUCAAUAAGAACACACUUCCACCUGACCUUACUCAUAGAUGCUCCGUAGGCAAUCACAAUCUUCAUCAGCUAUAGAAAUUGAGUGACUAUAAGUUAGGAAAUCAAAGAUUGGAUAUGCAGUGUUUCAUGUAGCUGGCAUCACCUGUGUGGGAUUGUUUUUGUUCUACCGUUGUAAUGACUACUGUAGAUUUGGCUCGACGCCGUUUGUCACGUAGGCUUUGUAAUAUACCUUGUCUAUGUUGCUCAUACUGGCCACUUUCCCUCCGUCUCUUGAGUGCUUGUUUUGCUUUUGUAUAAUAAGUGUUAAUUAGGUACAAGACAACAUGAGCAAAAGUGUUUUGUCAAUCAGAUGUACGGUGUAAGUGUCAAUUAAGUAUGAUAGAUAAUAUGAGCCACAAUUGAGUACCAUAUGGAGUGCUGCAUCUGUAGGCUUGAAGUGGCGGUCGUAACACAGUCGGUUGGGAGGACUCAAUGUCAGAGUCAAUAUUAUGGACAUUUUCCUUGUUAGAACCGACACUAUCUGGUGUGCUCUUAAUGAAUUUGGAGCAUGAAGUGGAGUCUGAUCACUCAUUAUCAUAUCAACAGGUAUGCCUGCAUCAUAAUUGUAUGUACAAUGUCAGUUGUUGAGACACAAACUAAGGUAUUAUGUUGGACAAGAGAACACAUGACCUUCUGCAGCUGGGGUGUGUCAUUGCGGGGUGACAGCAGACUGCGCACUGGGCCUGUCCACAAUGUCAAAACAUGUCCAAAAGAAGACUUGAUUAAUACGACUUUACUUGUGAUUCAUGAAAUGUAUGAGAAAAUGGAGUAACCAGGCGACAUGGCCACGGGUGGCUUUGAUAGAGUGUUGGUUAUAUUUAUAAUAGCAGACGUAGCUUUCUUAAAUCCCUUGCCUCCUGUCAUAAUUUUUUAGUAUUGCAUCCCUUUUUACCUCUCCCUUUCCCUCUGUCUCUUUAGUUCUUUUGGAUAUGUUUUUUGACUUGUGAGGCAACGAUAUAUUUUGGAUUUACAAGAUUGAAGUACGUAAGAGUACAUGAUAUAUGUAUUUACCUGAAUUGUCGUUGUUUGUCAGGUCCUGAAAGGGAGUACAUGCCCCACUAUGCUCAAAGGAUGCCAUAUUGUCAACUCAGUUUGUCAUGCAGAUCAUGAUGUACUGUAAGUAUCAAAUUUCACAGUACAAAUUAUAGAUUGUUAGAUUAAAAGAGCAAUUUCCUUUUGUCUUCUGCCUGAUCAUCUAUACUUGCAAAUUCAAAUGAUCUAACCUAUGCGCUGGCAGGUCAGAAAGUAGUCAUAUGUCCUCGAGAUGUUGCGGGCCACACGGGGUGAUGACACCGCAGGUAGGG